rnacentral:rRNA from 1 species
CUACGGGGGGCACCAGUGAGGAAUAUUGCACAAUGGGGGGAACCCUGAUGCAGCAACGCCGCGUGGAGGAUGACGCAUUUCGGUGUGUAAACUCCUUUUAUAUGUCAAGAAAAUGACGGUAGCAUAUGAAUAAGCACCGGCUAACUCCGUGCCAGCAGCCGCGGUAAUACGGAGGGUGCAAGCGUUACUCGGAAUCACUGGGCGUAAAGGACGCGUAGGCGGGUUGGAAAGUCAGGUGUGAAAUCCUACAGCUUAAUUGUAGAACUGCACUUGAAACUUCUAAUCUAGAGUAUGGGAGGGGGAGAUGGAAUUAGUGGUGUAGGGGUAAAAUCCGUAGAUAUCACUAGGAAUACCUAAGGCGAAGGCGAUCUCCUGGAACAUUACUGACGCUAAGGCGUGAAAGCGUGGGGAGCAAACAGGAUUAGAUACCCCGGUAGUC